rnacentral:lncRNA from 1 species
UGAUUCGCAACUUGAGCUUAAAUUAAUUUCUAACCAUUGAUAAAAUCAAUUAUUCUGAUCACAAUCCAAGGAUGGUCAUUUACCUACCAAGUCUAUAUAAACAUGUUAUUUCUCAUAAUUUUGAUUUUAGCUAACAUCACUAACCUAACUUAGAAAAUUCACAAUUAACCAUUAUUUUUUUACAAUUUUUCUAUUCUCUCUCAAUAUUCAUCUUCUCC